rnacentral:lncRNA from 1 species
AGCUGUCCUUUACUGGGCACCCAGGAGAUGCACUUGCACAAUUUCAUUCAUUCUCACGACCACCUUGUGAGGUAGGCACUAUCUCCGUGGCUCCAUUUGGCAAAUGAAAAGGAUGAAGGUCUCAGAGGUCAAGUUACACUGCUAGGAAGAGGUUGACCUGGAGUGGAAACCCAGGACUGCCUGUCUGACUGCUGAAUGGGUGCUUUGCAUUCCUUACCUGCCCUCCCAGGGCUCCAGACCAUCCCUCCUGCACAUCUGCCUCUCCCAGGCUGUGCCUCCGUGUCCCCAGCCCCCUCCAACAGCUCCAUCUCCCGAGAGCUCCUUGAAUCUCCUCACUCACUCCUCACUCUUGCUUCCUCUUUGGAAUCCAGCCACAGGCUUUUUUCUUCCAUCUGAGGGAGAGAAAAUGGUCUCGUUCCCCACCCCCAGGUCUUUCCAUCCUCUCAUCCAUCCAAACCUAAGCAUCUCUCUCUCCUCCCCUCCCCCUCUCUUGUUUUUUUUUUUUUUCCUUUCUGUUUAUCCAUCACUAGAAUCCACCCCGCUUCCCUCUUGCCUGUAGGUUCUGUGGCUAUAAUCAAAUCAUAACUUUUAUUAAAUUUAAGAUUACUUUUUAAUGGAAUCAA